GCCCCCUCCCACAGCAUCCCCAUUCCCAUGCCCAUCCCCGUCCCGCUCCCCGUCCCUGCAAGGCGGCGGGCGGCCACAGGGUGUCAGGCGGGUGCCGGGCUGCCUUCCCACGGAACCGCGCUGCGGGGCCGCCGGCGGCCGCCCGAGGGACCGGCGAUCCCGGCGGGCCUGGGGAGCACGCCUGGCAAAACUGCACAUGAGGGGCAGGGUUUGCAGUCACCGACAGCCCUGAGCGCGCCUCCCUGCAGGGAAAGGAUGGCUUCCCUUCCUUUUCCCGCGUAGGGAGGGAGACACGUUUCCAGGUAUGAGACCAGGAAGAGGAGAUGUGCUUCCUAAGAAAAAGUGACUGGAUUUGUUCUGGGCUUCCUGUGGGAUUCUGGGAGAAAAAAUGAAAAGGCUUUGCUGCUUUAUAAGGCUAAUGAAGUAUGACUGUGAAGGGGGCUCCUAAUGCUAGUGCGAAGCAAGGCUCACAAGCUUCAAAUGUUUUCUUGGAUGAUCUCCAAACCUUCUGCCCUCCUUUGGGCUACAGCUGAGGUUGGAGACCUCAGAGCUGCGAAGACUUCAGUGCAGCUGCUUCCAAGCAAAACCAGAGCCAUCACAAUGAAAAUAAAUAAAUAAACAAAUAGUGCUAUUCUGA